UGGUUUCUCUUCAGGUUCUAUAAAUCUCUUGCCUUUUACUAAAGAUUUCCAUGAAGAGGAACGUUUUU
rnacentral:snRNA from 1 species